CCUACGGGGGGCAGCAGUGGGGAAUAUUGGACAAUGGGCGAAAGCCUGAUCCAGCCAUGCCGCGUGUGUGAAGAAGGCCUUCGGGUUGUAAAGCACUUUCAGUGGGGAAGAAAGCCUUGGGGCUAAUACCCUCGAGGAAGGACAUCACCCACAGAAGAAGCACCGGCUAACUCCGUGCCAGCAGCCGCGGUAAUACGGAGGGUGCGAGCGUUAAUCGGAAUUACUGGGCGUAAAGCGCGCGUAGGCGGUCUGAUAAGCCGGUUGUGAAAGCCCCGGGCUCAACCUGGGAACGGCAUCCGGAACUGUCAGGCUAGAGUGCAGGAGAGGAAGGUAGAAUUCCCGGUGUAGCGGUGAAAUGCGUAGAGAUCGGGAGGAAUACCAGUGGCGAAGGCGGCCUUCUGGACUGACACUGACGCUGAGGUGCGAAAGCGUGGGUAGCAAACAGGAUUAGAUACCCCUGUAGU
rnacentral:rRNA from 1 species